AGCCGUGCGGUGAGCACAGAGCGAACUAUUCUUUCGCCUUUUACUAAAGAAUACCGUGUGCUCGCCGCCUCAAGCGGCAUACGCCUAUUUUUGGGAGGCCUUUUCGUUUUGGAUU
rnacentral:snRNA from 1 species